ensembl:lncRNA
AGACAUGCAACACCAAAAUUGCUGUUUUAGCAAAUAACCAUUGAGGCUGUUUGAUCAUUUCAAAUGUCAUGAAAAAUAUUUCUAAGAAAAUGCUUAAAUAUAAACAAAUAAUUUCCUGUUUGUCUUUAACUUUAUCUUGUUGCAAAUCCUUUUUUGAACCAGUCUAGUAAAUGGUGGAAUAUGUUUUACUGACUGAAUGAGUAACUCCUCUAUAUAAAUUUAAAAGAUAAAAUACAUGAUUUAUCUGUCCAGUACACAUGUUGGUAGCCCUGUGCUAAUGCUGUUUGUAGGGCUGCAGUUCAGUGUUCUUCUGUCACUCUGAAUCAUGAAAUAAUGUGUUCAAUGUACUUCUUAUCACAUUAUUGGAAGUUGUUGUAAACGAACCUCCUGCUUUUUCUUCAUUGUUGCUGCUGCUGCUGCUACUAAGUCGCUCCAGUCGUGUCUGACUCUGUGCGACCCCAUAGACGGCAGCCCACCAAGUUCCCCUGUCUCUGGGAUUCUCCAGGCAAGAACACUGAAGUGGGUUGCCAUUUCCUUCUCCAAUGCAUAAAAGUGAAAAGUGAAAGUGAAGUCUCUCAGUCAUGUCCGACUCUUAGCGGCCCCAUGCACUGCAGCCCACCAGGCUCCUCUGCCCAUGGGAUUUUCCAGGCAAGAGUGCUGGAGUGGGUUGCCAUUGCCUUCUCCGUUUCUUCAUUGUUUAGCGAACUUAAUUCUAAGGAAUUGCUCUCAGAACUUCUGCUACUAAAGAACAAGAGAAAUUGGUAGCAAAAUGGAGGCAGAAUUUCUGAUGUUUUGCUCUUGAUUUCACCAACUUAAGUGUAAUUCAAGAGUCCUCUUGUCAGAACGGUAAGAAAUGUAUCCUCCAAACAAACACAACAUACUUACAAGGUUCAUUCUCACUUAGAUGGUUGAAAAGCUUCUCUAACAAGUCACCUAAAGUACAAAUGCUUGUUGCUGUUGUUUAGUUGCUCAGCUGUGUCCGACUCUUUGGGACCCCAUGGACUGUAGCCCACCAGGUUCCUCUAUCCAUGGGAUUGUCCAGACAAGAAUACUGGAAUGGGUUGCCAUUUCCUCCUUCAG